AGCCUAAAGUAUCUUUUUAGGUGAAGCCUGCCCGGUGUGUGGAAGCAUUAACGGCCGCGGUACCUUGACCGUGCUAAGGUAGCGUAAUAAUUUGUCUUUUAAAUGGAGUCAAGUAUGAAUGGCUUAAUGGAAGAUAGCUGUCUCUGGGAAGUUAGUUAGAAAUUACUGUAGAGGUGAAAAAGCCUUUGUGAUAAUAAAGGAAGAGAAGACCCUUUGAAUUCUAAUAAAAAGGUCAGGAUUGGCCUUAAUUUUGGUUGGGGCGGCCCGAAAACAUAUAACUUUUUGGGAAAUUUUAAAGACAUGAAAGUUAUAUCGUGUAAGAAUGAAUUACCAUAGGGAUAACAGCAUUAUUCUUUUUAGAGAUUGUGACCUCGAUGUUGGACUAGGAAAGAAGUAGAUUAGAAGUUUACUUUUAGGGUUCUGUUCGAACCGUGUUUCUCCUACAU
rnacentral:rRNA from 1 species